UAUCGUGAGGUGGAAUCUGAAGGAAGCAAAGCUGUAGGCAAAAUCUUGACUCGACGGAUAGGAAUCACAUAUAAAAACUGUAUAAAUUGGACGAGGUUGUCACACAAACUGGAGUCCGAUACUACAAAGAUUUAGAUAGUAAAUGUGGUGAGUAAAUGAGAUGAAAGAG
rnacentral:ncRNA from 1 species